UUCUGGAGUUUGGCAGAGGGGGGUGGAAUUCCACGUGUAGCAGUGAAAUGCGUAAAGAUGUGGAGGAACACCAAUGGCGAAGGCAGCCCCCUGGGUCGAUACUGACGCUCAUGCACGAAAGCGUGGGUAGCAAACAGGAUUAGAUACCCUGGUAGUCCACGCCCUAAACGAUGUCAACUAGGUGUUGGGAGGGUAAAACCUUUUAGUGCCGUAGCUAAC
rnacentral:rRNA from 1 species